UCCGGCAUGGUGUAGUGGCUAGCAUUUCCGCCUCUCAUUGAUAGCUACUGAGCUUCAAAAUAGGUCGCGGGAGACCGGGGUUCAAUUCCCCGUACCGGAA
rnacentral:tRNA from 1 species